CGCCUCUUGAAAAAUUAUGAGAGGUCCAGCCUGCCCAGUGACAUUAGUUCAACGGCCGCGGUAUCCUAACCGUGCGAAGGUAGCGUAAUCACUUGUUUUUUAAAUAAAGACUUGUAUGAAAGGCUUCACGAGGGCCUAACUGUCUCCUUUUUCUUAUCAGUGAAACUGAUCUCCCCGUGAAGAAGCGGGGAUUCUUCUAUAAGACGAGAAGACCCUAUGGAGCUUUAAACUUUACAACACCUGUUCCUAUUUCUAUUUCCAGAAAACUACAUCCAUAACAGCCUGUUUGUGAGCUUUCGGUUGGGGCGACCCCGGAGAACAACUUAUCCUCCGCAAUGAAUAGACCCUUCUUUAGUUAAAAGUCACAUCUUGACACACCAGAAAACUGACAUACAUUGACCCAAAAUUUUGAUCAACGAACUAAGUUACCCUAGGGAUAACAGCGCUAUCCACUUUGAAAGUUCCUAUCGACAAGUGGGCUUACGACCUCGAUGUUGGAUCAGGGUAUCCCAGUGGUGCAGCCGCUACUAAAGGUUCGUUUGUUCAACGAUUAAAACCCU
rnacentral:rRNA from 1 species